GAUGAACGCUGGCGGCGUGCCUAAUACAUGCAAGUCGAGCGAACAGAUGAGGAGCUUGCUCCUCUGACGUUAGCGGCGGACGGGUGAGUAACACGUGGAUAACCUACCUAUAAGACUGGGAUAACUUCGGGAAACCGGAGCUAAUACCGGAUAAUAUAUUGAACCGCAUGGUUCAAUAGUGAAAGACGGUUUUGCUGUCACUUAUAGAUGGAUCCGCGCCGCAUUAGCUAGUUGGUAAGGUAACGGCUUACCAAGGCAACGAUGCGUAGCCGACCUGAGAGGGUGAUCGGCCACACUGGAACUGAGACACGGUCCAGACUCCUACGGGAGGCAGCAGUAGGGAAUCUUCCGCAAUGAGCGAAAGCCUGACGGAGCAACGCCGCGUGAGUGAUGAAGGUCUUCGGAUCGUAAAACUCUGUUAUUAGGGAAGAACAAAUGUGUAAGUAACUAUGCACGUCUUGACGGUACCUAAUCAGAAAGCCACGGCUAACUACGUG
rnacentral:rRNA from 1 species